CAAUAACCAUACAUAUCUUUUCAUUUUUAUGUUUCUUAACUCCUUCACAGAGCACGAGAUCCCCUUCUUCCUAAGAUAAUAUCCCCUUCUUGUUCAUCCACAGAUAUGUCCUCAAAUCAUAAACUCCCUUCUUGUUCAUCGACAACUCGAUCUUAACAAGAUUUUUUACAAGAUUUAUUAUUAUUUUCUUCCAUUAAUCAAAUUCAACAAAAACUCCAAGAACCCUAGAUUCAAAAUCCAAUUUGUUUCUCAAUAAUUAGAAAUCAAAGUUUGAAAUUGAAGACGAACCUCACUCUCACAUCAAAGAUCGAAACUCACUGUCCCAAAUUCGUAACUCCUAUCUCAAAAUUAAAACGCAUGUAUCAAUAGAAAUCUAAAAAAGAAAUUGUAACCGUAGAUUAGUUUUCUGCUCCUGAAAUCAUCAGAAAGGUGUUUCCUUAUAUAUUUUUUGCCUGCAAAAUCAAGUCUUCAAGUGGGUUGAAGAUCUCUUCUCCUAGUCUCGAGUUAUCACGGACAGAGAAACUGGGAGGUCAAGGGGCUUUGGAUUUGUCAGCUACAGCUAUGAAGAAAAUGCUAGUCAAGCUCUUACUAUGGACGGUCAGGAUCUAGGUGGAAGACAAAUCCGUGUAAGCUAUGCU